GGAAGAGGCCACCUCUGCUGGUCUACAGUCAAGGUUGGGCAAUGUUGAGGUCAUCCUGCAAAAAGCCUGGGGUCCUGCUCUCCUAACCUUCAGCACCCCUUGAGUGUGGUGGAAGAGGGCUUUGAGUCUUGAGCAGUCAGAGAAACCACGUUGUGACUUGCUGCAAGGGCAAAUGACAAAUGAUGGCCAGGCAAACCACCUAGGGACUUUGUCAGGCAAGACACAGGACUGUGGAAGUCACAGGAGGUAUGGGGCAGCUGUCCCUCCUGGCUGGAGAACACAGCCAGCUAUGCUCCUCCCCACUGACACCCAAUCCCAUGUGGCACACAUCUCAAGGUCUGCCCUCAGUCCAUUCAUCCACUCAGGCUCCAAGAGACUCAAACCCAAGUGACUGAAUUGGAUGGAGAUUAAUGCAUGGGGUUGCAAUCAAGUACUUUCCUCCUCACCCCCACUGCUUUCUCCCUGCUACUUAGCUAGUGGGAGUUUGUGUAGACAGCACAUCUCUUAU
rnacentral:lncRNA from 1 species